ensembl:lncRNA
AGGCCUGCGGAACUUGAGGUUAUGAGCGUUACUGGCAAAACCAAGAGAAGGUGCAUCGAAACAUCCACUUCUCAGGUUGCAUGGCUACUCAGACAAUCAGGAUGCUGAAGCUGUUUGGACUGCAGUGCAUAAGUCCCGGCAAUUGCUGACACAACACAUGAAGCUGUUCAGGUAAAACCUCAGAUGGUGGAUGUGGGGACUCAAACCGAAAGGUUUGAGCAUCGCAGAUCAACUCCACUGGCCAGUCCUGAACAAAGUGAUGAUGAAUGGUCAUUUUCUGAUAUCAUCAACCAUUCUGGUGAUAUGUCAUGGAGUCCAGGGGAGGAGAUGUUGAGCGGGUCCUCUGAGGAGGAACCAGAAGAGCUGGAAUCUCUCAGUGACCCAAAUGCUGUUGACAAGUUCAUUGUUUGCCAGAGGCAGUUGCUGUCCUUGUUCACGGUUUGCCCUACAUGCUGUGGGGAAACCCAGGGACACAUAAUGCACCCGGAAGGAACUUUCAUAAAAGUCAAGCAGGCCUGCGGAACUUGAGGUUAUGAGCGUUACUGGCAAAACCAAGAGAAGGUGCAUCGAAACAUCCACUUCUCAGGUUGCAUGGCUACUCAGACAAUCAGGAUGCUGAAGCUGUUUGGACUGCAGUGCAUAAGUCCCGGCAAUUUUUCCGCCAUCAGCGCUAUUACACUAUCCCUACCAUUGUGCGGGCCUGGAGGAAUGAGCAGAGGGGGAUCAUCAGGGAGUUGAAGGAGACUGGGGUGGAUUGAUCCUGUCUGGUGACUGCAGAUCAGAUUCUCCUGGACACUGUGCCAAAUAUGGUAGCUACUCCUUGAUCGAGGAUCGAAUUAACAAGGUUUUGGAUGUUCAACUUGUCCAAAGCUCAGAAGUCCCAAGCAGCUCUUGGUGUGAGCUAGAGGGUCUAAAGCGGAGUAUGCAGUUCCUGAUGGACCAAGACAUGCAAGUGUCUGCUCUGAUAUAAGGCAGAAAUCGGCAGUUUGUUUUAGGCAACACAGUCUCACCCCUAUUCGUCACAUACUGCCGUUUGGUCAUUUCCCCCUCAUGUCCAUAAGCCGACGUUGAGGGUACCCCCUAUUCGUCGCUUGACAACGUAGAGGGUCGUCUGAUAGAUUUGAGUGCAAAUCCCUCAUCUUUGAAUUUUG